GCUGGCGGCGUGCUUAACACAUGCAAGUCAAGGAGAACGGGAAUCUUCGGAGUCCUUAGUAAACUGGCGAACGGGUGAGUAACACGUAGGUAACCUGCCUGCGGGUCCGGGAUAACCUUGCUAACGCGGGGCUAAUACUGGAUAACGUUCUUUUGUUACAUGACAUGAGAACCAAAGCUGCCUUCGGGUAGCACCUGUGGAUGGACCUGCGCCCCAUUAGCUUGUUGGUAGGGUAAUGGCCUACCAAGGCAACGAUGGGUAGCCGGCCUGAGAGGGUGACCGGCCACACUGGGACUGAGAUACGGCCCAGACUCCUACGGGAGGCAGCAGUGAGGAAUAUUGCGCAAUGGGCGAAAGCCUGACGCAGCAACGCCGCGUGGAUGAUGAAGCUCUAAGGAGUGNNAAGUCCUGUUAGGAGGGAAGAACAAUCGCCAUUCGAAUAGGAUGGUGGUUUGAC
rnacentral:rRNA from 1 species